CUAAAAAGACUAAAACAGGAUGCGGUUUUGGUUUCGUCCGCCUGCCGUAUUCGGUCAUGCGUCCGCUUGGAAACUCUCAUCCCCCCCCCCCCCCUCCGUGAUCCCCUCCCCCUUUCCUACUUCACCGUGAGCGCCAGAGAAAACCCGAUCCCCCUUCUCCUUUCCACCGUUCGCAGAGACCGAAGACCACCGAUCCCCUUCCCGCAUCACCGGUGGCUCCGUGAUCCGCAUCGACUCGCCUGGCUGCGACUCGGAGAAGCUGCGGCACCCUCCGUGAUCCGCAUCGACUCGUUGUCGUUCCCCUCCGUGAUCCGCAACGGCAGGCCCCCCCAUCCCCUCUGUGAUCUGCAAGUUGCUCGUCGCCGGUGCCGUCGCUCGCUCGUCGCCGGUGGCGUCGCGGGAGGAGUGCUCUGGGAUUUCGUUGUUGCAUUCGUUGCCUUCCUCCUCCGCCUCGUCUUCGUCGUCCACGCACACCUUGCAGCUGCCCGAGCAGACCUCGCAGAGCACGAACCGCACGUCCCCGCAGGCCUCACACGCGCCAGCCUCGCCGUGGGCGCCUGCCGCCGCGGCACUCUCGCCUAGGUCCAAAUUCUACGACCUUCCUUUGCUGCGGAUCCCGGUGGAACUAAGCGGCUGCAGCUGAGGACCUAGGGUGCGUGUAGAGAAGGAGAACCUGUGCCUGUACGGUCACCCGAACGGUGGAUGGGAGGUGUCGCUCCCGGUGGAGGAGGUGCUGUCGGAGAUGCCCGAGCCGGCGCUCAAGAUCAACUUUGCCAGGGACGGCAUGAAGCGCCGCGACUGGCUCUCGCUCAUCGCCGUAUACUCCGACGCUUGGGUCAUAUCCGUUGCGUUCUUCUUCGCCGCCAAACUCAACGCCAACAACAGGUACUACUAUGCUCUUGGCUACGCCCCUCCAUUAGAUUGACUAGGAGCGCUUGGCUUGUUUGAUCUCGUUAAUUCAAGUUGCCAUCAAUCCUGGAGAAUUGGAUUCUCGUAGCCGCUUGAUUUUUGUCUUGUCUGCAUUAUGGUUUGGUUUAUGUGGCGGUGAGAUGCUGCUCCUGUGCUCGUGGGGUUUACGGGUUUGCUUAUUUUAUUUCACACAUCACCUGCGGCAUGUUUGUGCAUAUGGUUACUGUGCUUCCAUUGUUUCCAGUCUUAUCUUCUUAUCCUGCUGUCAAUGGGCCAUGUUUUUGCUUUUGCUUUAUGAUUUGGUCAUUAAUAUUUUGCUACCAUGGUCACAAUGUACAACUUUGCUACAAUGACACAUAAUGUGCAAAUAGUCUCCUAGCCCCACCCCGUAUCUUCAACUGAAAAGAUAUUUGGAUGUUUCUUAUGGGAUCGUUGACAUGUAUGUCUCUUUGGGCCAUGCAUCUUUCUUUUGUCUUUCAUGUUUACACUCUACAAUAUGCGGUUUGAAGGAAUGAUGUAUCUCUAGGCCAUGGCCAUGCUACCUUGAAUUUGUAGCGUUUAUUUAUGGUUUUGCCACUCUAAAGGUCUGUAUUUUGGGUUGUUUCGCUAGAAACGAGUAUAUACUUAUAUUUUGCUCUAAUGUAUUCUCAUUUUUCUUUUCUUGUUUAAAUAUAGACUAGAUUUUACACCUUCAAAAACUAAGCUUUUCUAGAACUGAACUGGUGGAGAUGGACUACAGCUUGGUUCUGUCACCUAAGGUCCAUCACUGGCUCAGUGGCAGAAGCAGCGCCAGGAGCCUCCUUUGCAUGAGAAUUUGAUCUGCAAGCCCCCUGAACCACAUCUCCAGAACUCACGAAACCAAUCAAUCAUGUGCUGCACAACGAAGUGUGUGUGGUCAAAUGCGUCAAGUUCGAUAGCCAAAUAAGUUGUCCAUUGUGAUGCUUGCUCGCAGUCGCUUAUUCCUGAGGACUGCUAUGCAUAGGUUGUUUUUCCGUCCUGCAGGUUGCUGAGUGCAAUAGCUUCAUGAAACUGGAGAGGGAAAGGCAGCAAAAAGGUGAAUGAGGAGAUUGAGAUCAAACAAUAAAGUAAUGAGCAGGUUCCAAGAGCACAUUCAAUGUAGGACUUCUCUAGGCACUUUGUGCCAAAAAGGUACUCAAUCUCCAUUCUUUUGCCUUUGCUGAUGAUCUCUCCACAAUUUUUGGACAAUCAAUCAUUCAGUCUCACAAUCUCAACACCUAAGAAGGUCAGUGAAGCUUCCUAAAAUUCCUUGAGAGCCAAAAUUUCACACCAGGUUGAUGAGGCACAACUCAAUGGCGUUAUGAGCUUUGAAAGUAGUUUCCUUGGUAGGUGCUAGCAAUUAGCAAGUAGAAACUGCACUUUUGUUUUGUGAAAUUGGUGCUUCUUGGAAUCCUUCUUAGUUGGCUAGACAAGAGCCACAUGUUUAAUUUAUAUUUUUUUGUGAAAGGUUUAUUUUACAAAAUGGUGCUCUCUGAUUCUAUUGUUUUGUAUUUUCAUUAAAAAUAUUGAAUACUACAUGAAGAACCAUUGAAUUGCUGCUCUGCUAGGAGAAGCAAUUGGAGGCACGGUGAUUUCAGUUAUUUAGAAUAUGGUAUCCAGUGUGAUGAAAAAUAUGAACUAUUGAAAAAACUUGUUCACAAGAUAUGUUGGGGUUAUUUCCUAAAAUAUCUUUCAUGCCUGGCAAGCCCUAAUACAAUGGCUUAAAGAAGGUUCAUGAUACUUCGAUUAUCUUCUCAUGUCAUUGUUACAGCCGCAGUGGUGAUCUCUUUCCCUUGCUAUCGUUAUGCUCUGCUCAAAAUGUUCUUGAAGUCUUAUUAGAGGGUGGAGGUAUGCAUAGUGCACAUUUGGGUACCCGAGGCAUUACACUAGGUUGCCAGUUGUCUUUGGGACUGUUGAUGUCACAUUUCCAUCCAUUAUAGCUUGAUUCUCUUUGGAUGGUUAGUGCGUGAGUGAAAAUGGAUUUAGCAAGUUAUGGAUAAAUGUUGUAAAUAUCGAGUUGUUUAAACUACCAAUGUAUACCAAAUAAUCAUAUUUUUUCUUAAUUGUUUUUGUUGGACUGCAAAUUUUAAGGUCAACGGGGCAAGUAAUGUACGGGCAGUGAUUGAGUCGCUGACUGACAGAAGCCCAAAUUAUAAUUACUUUUUUUUAACUAAAAGUAUUGAGCUUUGGAGGAAGAGGACUUUGGAGGUGUUGUAGGAGAAACCAACAA